CUUAACCUAGACCCUUCAACACCAACACCUCUAAGUAUUAGCCGUUUCAUACAAAAAGAGUGCUAACACAUACACAUGACACCCUCACCAAACGGACGAGAUCCUUUCUUCUUCACCUUAUCUCCAUCUCGUACACACCCAAAGAAAACUUCUGCCAUCUAACCUCUAACUCCCUAAGCUAAGAAAUAGGAGACCUUUGAAUUCCUACGAAAACAAAAAGAACACAACCUAAUUCCUAAGCUAAUGAACAGCGACAAAACCCCAAAAUUCCCCAAUUUUCUUUCACUUUGGACAAAAGAGAAUCAGCCACACAAAUGGCUGAAGAUCUAAUAGCCGCAUGCCCCAGUUAAAAAUAUGGAGCUGCCUCCUUGGAGCUCUCUGAAGUCUGAUCUCUUUCUCUCAAUCAUUUCGCUGGCUAGAUUUUUGCCGGAAAAUCUGUUCCGGCGACCCUCCAUUGAAUUCGGCUAAACAGAGCUCAAACCCAGCAGUAAACCCAGCUCCAAAAACGCCCUAAAACUACCCAAAUUAGUGUGAAAAGCAGCCCGAAAUCGUCGUCCAACUCUGUCGAUUUGAAUCGUUCGAGGUUGUUGAUUCUGGUCGAGGCUCUAAGUCCCUAGCUCGAUUGAAGAUUGAUGUUUGUGGUAUUUCUUUUCCUGUGUAAUUGUUUGCAAUUUUGAGCAAUAAAGGCCCGUCUCUAUCCUGUUCACUUCAUCUGAAUGUUUGGACUUUAACUUUACUACUUUAGAAUUUUAAAGUAGAUUUGUUAUCGGUUUAUUGUUUGGAUCUAUUGCUUUAAUUUCUUGACUCGUGAAUAAAUCUUAUCUUAGCUAUUAGUAUUUUAGUUUGUUUAAUAAAAAUUAAAUUCCUUCUUAAGGUAAAAAUUGAAGUACUCACCAAUUAUAGAGGAGUUGGAUUAAGAAAGGCAAAAGGAAUUGGUUUCUUAUCAUCUUUAGAAGCAGUAUAGAAGCCUUGAUAGACACGUAACGAAACACAUUUUUCAGUUUAUUUCUCAAAAUAUUUCACUGUCAUCAAAUAACUAACUAUUUAUAUUUAUUUAUUUAUUUUGGAUUUCCUCUGGACAUGAUUUUGUUCUAAUCUGUGUUUGUUUCCUUAUUUUUUUCAAGGUGUUUCGAGUUUAUUUUAGCUGUGUCACAUUGUUAAUAUGUCUAUAUUUGGUCAUUUAUUUAAUAUCAUGGAAGCUUUUAGAAAUAGUAGUUCAUCGUGGCCUUAGUUCAUAAAUGUGCUAGUUGAUUCAUAUAAUCUUUAACUUAGAAAAAUAAUUAAAAUUCGCUAGUUGCUUUAAGCGUGGUUAAUAAUAAAUCAUCGUAACUAUGGGUACAGUUCCCGUAACAUAGUCAUGAUACAUAACCUUAAUUCGAGUGCUUGUUUCACGUGACUUGACUAUAACAUCAAAUAAUAAUAAAAUAAAUAUAUCGCAAAUUGUUGGUUCAUUUUAUGUAGCGUGGUUUGCAAUGUGUUCCAAAACGGCAAGUGUAUGACAAUCGUGACUCGUUCCAGAAAUAACUCCAUUAAUAAUUGAAAGCAGUUUAAAAAUUUAAAGAUGCACAAUAGGUUUAGAUGUAACGACCUGACCGGUUGUUUUAAGCUUUUGCAUUUUAAUCGCUAGUUCUCGGACAUGACUUGUCCCGUUUAAUGUAUUAUGAUUAAUGUAGACCAUUGGUUUUGGUUUUCAGGAAAAUUUGGAAUGAAUUUGAAAGAACAGUCUCAGCUGAAAGCUUUGAAUUUGAAAGGUUUGACCAAGCUUUGACUUAUUCG
rnacentral:lncRNA from 1 species